GCGCUCUUGAUCUAGCCUGGUUAUGAUUACGGGUUUCCAACCCGUCCACGGGGGUUCGAAUCCCCCAGAGCGCACCA
rnacentral:tRNA from 1 species